AGAGUUUGAUCCUGGCUCAGGAUGAACGCUGGCGGCGUGCCUAAUACAUGCAAGUCGAGCGAACGGACGAGAAGCUUGCUUCUCUGAUGUUAGCGGCGGACGGGUGAGUAACACGUGGAUAACCUACCUAUAAGACUGGGAUAACUUCGGGAAACCGGAGCUAAUACCGGAUAAUAUUUUGAACCGCAUGGUUCAAAAGUAAAAGACGGUCUUGCUGUCACUUAUAGAUGGAUCCGCGCUGCAUUAGCUAGUUGGUAAGGUAACGGCUUACCAAGGCAACGAUGCAUAGCCGACCUGAGAGGGUGAUCGGCCACACUGGAACUGAGACACGGUCCAGACUCCUACGGGAGGCAGCAGUAGGGAAUCUUCCGCAAUGGGCGAAAGCCUGACGGAGCAACGCCGCGUGAGUGAUGAAGGUCUUCGGAUCGUAAAACUCUGUUAUUAGGGAAGAACAUAUGUGUAAGUAACUGUGCACAUCUUGACGGUACCUAAUCAGAAAGCCACGGCUAACUACGUGCCAGCAGCCGCGGUAAUACGUAGGUGGCAAGCGUUAUCCGGAAUUAUUGGGCGUAAAGCGCGCGUAGGCGGUUUUUUAAGUCUGAUGUGAAAGCCCACGGCUCAACCGUGGAGGGUCAUUGGAAACUGGAAAACUUGAGUGCAGAAGAGGAAAGUGGAAUUCCAUGUGUAGCGGUGAAAUGCGCAGAGAUAUGGAGGAACACCAGUGGCGAAGGCGACUUUCUGGUCUGUAACUGACGCUGAUGUGCGAAAGCGUGGGGAUCAAACAGGAUUAGAUACCCUGGUAGUCCACGCCGUAAACGAUGAGUGCUAAGUGUUAGGGGGUUUCCGCCCCUUAGUGCUGCAGCUAACGCAUUAAGCACUCCGCCUGGGGAGUACGACCGCAAGGUUGAAACUCAAAGGAAUUGACGGGGACCCGCACAAGCGGUGGAGCAUGUGGUUUAAUUCGAAGCAACGCGAAGAACCUUACCAAAUCUUGACAUCCUUUGACAACUCUAGAGAUAGAGCCUUCCCCUUCGGGGGACAAAGUGACAGGUGGUGCAUGGUUGUCGUCAGCUCGUGUCGUGAGAUGUUGGGUUAAGUCCCGCAACGAGCGCAACCCUUAAGCUUAGUUGCCAUCAUUAAGUUGGGCACUCUAAGUUGACUGCCGGUGACAAACCGGAGGAAGGUGGGGAUGACGUCAAAUCAUCAUGCCCCU
rnacentral:rRNA from 1 species